AUGGGUCCCUAUGGGUCCCUAUGGGUCCCUAUGGGUCCCUAUGGGUCUCUAUGGGUCCCUAUGGGUCUCCCUGCCCCACACUUUAGGCUGGAGCCCGGCUCAGGCCCAGAUGUUGGGGACACAGUUUUGGGGUCAGCGCCCCCCAGGUGAGUGAUGACGUCAUCAGUGACGUCACCGGGUGUGAUGACAUCAUCGUGAUGACAUCAUAGGGUGGAUGACGUCAUCAACCCACCCCCCCCCAUAUCUGUGACCCACAGAGCAGGAACCGGGACCUAAAAUCAGGUACUUAUGGGGUGAUAUGGGGUCCCUAUGGGGUCUCUAUGGGUCCCUAUGGGGUCUCUAUGGGUCCCUAUGGGUCCCUAUGGGUCUCUAUGGGUCCCUAUGGGUCUCUAUGGGUCCCUAUGGGGUCACUAUGGGUCCUAUGGGGUCUCUAUGGGUCUUAUGGGUUGCUAUGGAUCCUAUGGGGUCCCUAUGGGUCUCAAUGGGUUCGCUAUGGGUCCCUAUGGGUCUCUGUGGGUCCUAUGGGGUCCCUAUGGGUCUCUAUGGGGUUAUUAUGGGGUCCUAUGGGGUCAGUAUUGGUCUCUAUGGGGUCCCUAUGGGGUCUCUAUGGGUCUUAUGGGUCCCUAUGGGGUUCUUAUGGGGUCCUAUGGGUUUCUAUGGGUCCCUAUGGGGUCUCUAUGGGUCCCUAUGAGGUUCCUAUGGGUUUCUAUGGGUCCUAUGGGUUCGCUAUGGGUCCCUAUGGGUCCUAUGGGUUUCUAUGGUCCCUAUGGGGUCCCUAUGGGUCUCUAUGGGUUCGCUAUGGGUCCCUAUUGGGUUCUUAUGGGUCCCUAUGGGGUCUCUAUGGGUCCUAUGGGGUCUUUAUGGGUCACUAUGGGGUUGCUAUGGGUCCCUAUGGGGUUGUUAUGGGUCUCUAUGGGUUUCUAUGGGGUCCCUAUGGGGUCAUUAUGGGUCUUAUGGGGUCUCUAUGGGGUUGUUAUGGGUCCCUAUGGGGUUAUUAUGGGUCUUAUGGGGUCCCUAUGGGGUUUUUAUGGGUCCCUGUGGGUCACUAUGGGGUCUCUAUGGGUCCCUAUGGGGUUGUUAUGGGUCCUAUGGGGUCAUUAUGGGUCUCUGUGGGUCCCUAUGGGGUUGUUAUGGGUCCCUAUGGGUUGUAUGGGUCUUAUGGGUCUCUAUGGGGUCCCUAUGGGUCCCUAUGGGGNGGUCUCCCUGCCCCACACUUUAGGCUGGAGCCCGGUUCAGGCCCAGAUGUUGGGGACACAGUUUUGGGGUCAGCGCCCCCCAGAGCAGGAACCAGGACCUAAAAUCAGGUUCACAGCGGAGCUGGCUCGUGCCUACCUGGCUGUGAGGCUCAGGAGGGACCACGCGGCUGUGGGGCGGGCACUGCAAGAGGGCGGCCCACGAGUUAUGGGGCGGCAGCGUGCGGCACUACGUGUGUGUGGGGCCAUCCAGGGCCAUGAGGGACAUGGGGGAGAGACUGAGACACGGUGAGGGGGU
ensembl:lncRNA